GUCAGCAUGGUGCAGUGGUUUGAGUGUUGGGCUACAAUUCCAUAAGUCCAGGGUUCAAAUCCCUGAUCAACCA